rnacentral:rRNA from 1 species
AACGAACGCUGGCGGCAGGCUUAACACAUGCAAGUCGAACGCGUGCAGCAAUGCACGAGUGGCGCACGGGUGAGUAACGCGUGGAUAUCUGCCUUUUGGUUCGGAAUAACCCCGGGAAACUGGGGCUAAUACCGGAUGGUUCCUACGGGAUAAAGAUUUAUCGCCAAAAGAUGAGUCCGCGUCCGAUUAGCUAGUUGGUGAGGUAAUGGCUCACCAAGGCGACGAUCGGUAGCUGGUCUGAGAGGACGAUCAGCCACACUGGGACUGAGACACGGCCCAGACUCCUACGGGAGGCAGCAGUGGGGAAUAUUGGACAAUGGGGGCAACCCUGAUCCAGCCAUGCCGCGUGAGUGAUGAAGGCCUUCGGGUUGUAAAGCUCUUCUGGCGGGGACGAUGAUGACGGUACCCGCAGAAUAAGCCCCGGCUAACUUCGU